UACGGAGGGUGCAAGCGUUAUCCGGAUUCACUGGGUUUAAAGGGUGUGUAGGCGGGCUGUUAAGUCAGUGGUGAAAUCUCCGGGCUCAACCCGGAAACUGCCAUUGAUACUAUCAGUCUUGAAUAUUGUUGAGGUGGGCGGAAUAUGUCAUGUAGCGGUGAAAUGCAUAGAGAUGACAUAGAACACCGAUUGCGAAGGCAGCUCACUAAACAUGUAUUGACGCUGAGGCACGAAAGCGUGGGGAGCAAACAGG
rnacentral:rRNA from 1 species